rnacentral:rRNA from 1 species
GACCGGUACAAGCGGGGUAGGUGUGUGACAGGCAAAUCCGUCACAUAAGCCGAAGACGUGAUGUGGAGCGAAAUUAAGUAGUGAAGUAUGUGAGCCAUGUGCCGAGAAAAGCCGCUAUUGUUUUAUAUGUGCCCGUACCGUAAACCGACACAGGUGGAUGAGGAGAGAAUCCUAAGGCCGACGGAAGAAGCAUUGUUAAGGAAUUCGGCAAAAUGACCCCGUAACUUCGGGAGAAGGGGUGCCCACUGAAUGGUGGGCCGCAGAGAAUAGGCUCAAGCAACUGUUUAGCAAAAACACAGGUCUAUGCGAAACCGAAAGGUGAAGUAUAUGGGCUGACGCCUGCCCGGUGCUGGAAGGUUAAGAGGAGAGGUUAUCGCAAGCGAAGCUUUGAAUUUAAGCCCCAGUAAACGGCGGCCGUAACUAUAACGGUCCUAAGGUAGCGAAAUUCCUUGUCGGGUAAGUUCCGACCCGCACGAAAGGCGUAAUGAUUUGAGCACUGUCUCGACAAUGCAUCCGGUGAAAUUGAAGUACCAGUGAAGAUGCUGGUUACCCGCGCCAGGACGGAAAGACCCCAUGGAGCUUUACUCCAGUUUGAUACUGGGAUUCGGUACUGCACGUACAGGAUAGGUGGGAGACUGAGAACUAUGGACGCCAGUCUGUAGGGAGUCGCUGUUGGGAUACCACCCCUGUAGUACUGGGUUUCUAACCAUCUGCCGUGAUCCGGCAGUGGGACAAUGUCAGGCGGGGAGUUUGACUGGGGCGGUCGCCUCCGAAAGGGUAUCGGAGGCGCUCAAAGGUUCCCUCAGAAUGGUCGGAAACCAUUUGAAGAGUGCAAAGGCAGAAGGGAGCUUGACUGCGACACCGACGGGUGGAGCAGGUACGAAAGUAGGACUUAGUGAUCCGGUGGUAUAAAGUGGGAUUGCCAUCGCUCAACGGAUAAAAGCUACCCUGGGAUAACAGGCUUAUCACUCCCAAGAGUUCACAUCGACGGAGUGGUUUGGCACCUCGAUGUCGGCUCAUCGCAACCUGGGGCUGUAGCAGGUCCCAAGGGUUGGGCUGUUCGCCCAUUAAAGCGGUACGCGAGCUGGGUUCAGAACGUCGUGAGACAGUUCGGUCCCUAUCCGGCGCGGGCGGAGGAUAUUUGAGAGGAGCUGUCCUUAGUACGAGAGGACCGGGAUGGACGGACCACUGGUGUAUCUGUUGUCGACCGACGGCAUGGCAGAGUAGCCAAGUCUGGAAGGGAUAAACGCUGAAGGCAUCUAAGCGUGAAGCCCCCCUCAAGAUGAGAUAUCCCUCCUUCGGGAGUAAGACCCCUUGAAGACUACAAGGUAGAUAGGGCAGAGGUGGAGGUGUGGCAACACAUGGAGCUGACUGUUACUAAUAGGUCGAGGGCUUGAUGG